rnacentral:rRNA from 1 species
GACGUAGGGGGCCAGCGUUGCUCGGAAUUACUGGGCGUAAAGGGUUCGUAGGCGGUGCGGCAAGUCGGGAGUGAAAUCUCUGGGCUUAACUCGGAGGCUGCUUCCGAAACUGCCGUGCUCGAGUGCGGGAGAGGCGAGUGGAAUUGCAGGUGUAGCGGUGAAAUGCGUAGAUAUCUGCAGGAACACCCGUGGCGAAGGCGGCUCGCUGGACCGCAACUGACGCUGAGGAACGAAAGCUAGGGGAGCAAACAGG